CCUGGCGAUGACGACCAACUUGCCCUCACUGAGAACACUGUUCGCUAAUGAGAGCAUCACCAUGUGCUCAGGUGAGCUGAGCCAGG
ensembl:snoRNA